rnacentral:lncRNA from 1 species
UACAGGGCCCUCCUGGAGUGGGCACCAAUGGCUGCCCUGCCUCUGAAGAGAAGAGCUCUCCCGGAGUAUCCUGGUCGCCUGGCAUCAGCAGCUCCCAUGGGUCUGGAAGCUGAUCCCUUGUGCCCAGGAGUUCCCACCAUAUCUAAUGCACAGAACCUUUUGUCUGGGGGUGCACAAAACAGAAGUUUUCUCCCCGUGUUAUGGAAGGAGGAGACAGAAGAGAAGCAUCUUAGUCAUGAAUGUCUGAAACAAUUCGCCUUUGCAGCCUGCCCCCUUCCCCCAGGCCAACGCCACGCUGCAACAAGACUUUCUUUCAUCACCAGAUGGUUCUAUGCUUCAGCUGAAGUCUGUGAGUAUAAAACUGCACAGUAAAUUUUAAUUGUAAUUCAGUAGGUUAGAGUUUAGGUGCUGGUGAUGGAUUGCAAUUCGGAGUAUUUGAGUGAUCGCUUCUUGUUUUGAAAGGAUUGGUGUGUGACCAGGC